rnacentral:tRNA from 1 species
GGGAUUGUAGCUUAAAGGUGAAGCAUCGGACUUUUAAUCCGACGAAGAAGGGUCAGUACCUUCCAGUCCUACCA